rnacentral:rRNA from 1 species
UAGGGAAUCUUCGGCAAUGGACGAAAGUCUGACCGAGCAACGCCGCGCGAGUGAAGAAGGUUUUCGGAUCGUAAAACUCUGUUGUUAGAGAAGAACAAGGACGUUAGUAACUGAACGUCCCCUGACGGUAUCUAACCAGAAAGCCACGGCUAACUACGUGCCAGCAGCCGCGGUAAUACGUAGGUGGCAAGCGUUGUCCGGAUUUAUUGGGCGUAAAGCGAGCGCAGGCGGUUUCUUAAGUCUGAUGUGAAAGCCCCCGGCUCAACCGGGGAGGGUCAUUGGAAACUGGGAGACUUGAGUGCAGAAGAGGAGAGUGGAAUUCCAUGUGUAGCGGUGAAAAGCGUAGAUAUAUGGAGGAACACCAGUGGCGAAGGCGGCUCUCUGGUCUGUAACUGACGCUGAGGCUCGAAAGCGUGGGGAGCAAACAGG